ensembl:lincRNA
GUUAAUGUACAUAAUAGAAGAGCAUCAUACCAGGGAUCUUCUUUAAAUUAUGCGUGUCUUUCUUAGGGAGCAAUUCAAUUGUUCCAUGAGCGAGCCAGGUGGUCUGCGAGGAGCCGGGCUGUGAAGCUAAGAUGAGCCUUUAAAAUGCCCAAGAGGAACAGAAGGGGACACAGAAUCUCAGCGCAGUGAGAGCUCUGAGUGCCGAGGACAGAAGGGGACACAGAAUCUCAGCGCAGUGAGAGCUCUGAGUGCCGAGGACACGUGGUGGAGCCUGGGCCUCUGCUGGUCACUCAGUCAUGUCCGACUCUUUGUGAGCCCAUGGACUCUAGCCCGCCAGGCUCCUCUGUCCAUGGGGUUUCCCAGGCAAGAGUACUGGAGUGGGUUGCCAUUUCCUUCUCCAGGGGAUCUUCCCAAUCCCAGGACUGAACUCACAUCUCUUGCAUUGCAGGCAGACUCCACCAUCUGAACCACCAGGAAAACACGCACGAUGGAGUGAGGAAGUGCAUAAAAUGCUGUGUGCAGAUGUUCCUGUGUGAGCUGGAAGAGGAGGACUGGUCCCUCUUUGUCUGAGAUCAUGUGGAGUCCCUGCUGUGAACCAGGUCUCUCCUGUUCACCCUGGAGGGCUCAGCUAAAUGCCAUGAUAGCUAAUUAUCACCCAGAAGCCCCCAUCCCUACCUGGGCAGGGUCCCCUGCAAGAGGCUUUUGUAGCGCAGUGAUCAGCACUUCUGCAGAAUGGGACCCAUCCACGUUGCGGCAUCACCAUCUGCAUCCUACUCUGUCCCUGCAGCAGACUGAAAGUGUUCUCAGGGCAGGAACUUUCUCAGGUACCUGAGGCCUCUUGGUAAGUACAUAUUGCUAAUAUGAAUAUUCAUUGGAAAGACUGAUGCUGAAGCUGAAGCUCCAAAAUUUUGGCCAUCUAAUGCGAAGAACCAACUCACUGGAAAAGACCCUGAUGCUGGGAAAGAUUGAGGGCAGGAGGAGAAGGGAAUGACAGAGGAUGAGAUGGUUGGAUGGCAUCACUGACUCAAUGGACAUGGGUUUGAGUAAGCUCUGGGAGCUGCAGUCCAUGGCGUCUCAAAAGAGUCGGACAUGAACAACAGCAACAUAUAUAUAUAUAAUGAGUGUAACUGGCUAGAUGGGAGAGGCUAGGCCAGCCUCAGGUAGAUGCUUGUGAACCCGGGGAGGGUCAUAUUUCUUUUCAUUAUUGGAUAAAUGGUUAAUUCUCUUUUAACGAGCCAAAGGAAAAACAAAUUUACCAAGUUGACAUUUAGCAAAAGCCAUUUCGACAUCUAAAGAUGUUCUUAGUUCUGCAACUCUGGAUGACCUUGCACUUGAAAAUGUCACUGCCAGUUUGCUGGGCUGAUUAGGGUUGCCCGUUCGCUCUUGCCUCUAAACCCCUGCCCUGCCCAUUUCUUUCCUCAGCUGGGGUUUCCUCCAACACACUCCCACUUUGGCUAGAAUUCCAUGCUCCCUGCUCUCUCCUCAGCUCAAGGUGAGUUUCAUCUGGGCUCUUGAGAGCAGCUGGGGAAAUACUCUCUGUAUUUAGGUCUCAUGUGGUUGUGACUGGACACAGGGUGAUGUCCUGGGGAGGAGACAGUCUCUGCAGCCUGGACCAGCUGUUCAGCGUUGACACGGCUGAAGGGUUCUGUCAUUCCAGUUGACCAUGGCCAGCUAAAAUGUGUGAGCUUGCUGGGAGCUAAUAGUUCCAAAUCUGUGUACUGUAUAGGGCUAUGGGAACAGAUGAUGGUGGGUCUUUUCCAAUGCAUUUGAUUUGUCCAUUGUCACAUGAACCAGAGAGGGGGAGGAAGGUCUGUAAUACACUGAGCUGUUUCUCCAAAACUUACACCUGGAACCUCCUUCUGAGAAUAUAUAAUCUCUUACCUUGCCUUGUCCUAUAGGAAUUAAAAAAGAAAAGCAUUUUGUCACUUUCUCGUGUUACCAAAAUUGAAUUUAAGAAUUUUUAGACAUGUUUUUCCCCAUCUAAUUAUUGAUGCAUGCUGUUCUAUUUACUCUAAAUUAAUUAUGUAAGAAAAGCAUGAUUCAUCCACAAAGACACUCAGUAAUUGCAUAGUUGAUCACACUUGGUUGAGAAACACAAUUUUAAAAUGUAAAUGGAAAUUUAAUUAUGUGUUAGCAUUGAAAAUAGGCAAGACCUGCUUUUGUGACCUCACAUUUGGAAUUCCUGCAUUUUGACUGAAAAAAAUUCAACUGAUUAAUUUUGAGUUUUAUCUCUAAAUAUUGACAUAAAAGAGGAGAACAGGUCACUUGCCGUUACUUAUUUAAACUAUCCCAUUGGUGGAGUGGAUAGUUUCAUUCCCAGUAAAGGAAGAAGCAUGCAUUUAAUUCUCAUUAUAGCUUUUUUACUUUAACAAUGGGUUCUGGAAUGCCAGAGACAGCCUGAAGGGCCACUAAGGCUUUUGACUAAAUAAAUGAAAUUUAGAGAUUAGGCUCAGAAAAUAUAGGAGUGAUUUGGCAGAAUUAUCAUUUCUUGAAAAAAUUUUUGAUGUGGACCGUUUUUAAAGUCUUUAUUAAAUUUGCUGCAAUAUUGCUUCUCUUCUAUGCGGUGGUUUUUGGCUGCAAGGCGUGUGGGAUCUUAGCUUCCUGACCAGGUGCUGAACCCACACCCCCUUCACUGGAAGGUGAAGUCUUAACCACUGGACCCCCAGGGAAGCCCCAGAAUUAUCACUUUUAAGCUUCUUGUGUGGGAGGCAGCUUCUAAGAUGAUUCCUUCUUCUAGAGAGUGGGCUGAACCUGGUGAAACUGAUGGGAUAACAAAGAAACUGACGGGAUAUUACUUCCAAGGACAGGUUGUAAGGGACUGUGACUUCUCUUUUGCUCUCCUUCUCUCUUCUCACUUGCUCAUGCUGAUGAACCUAGCUGCCAUGUUAUAAGGAAGCCUCCACAUACACCCUCCAGGGUGACUUCCAGCCAACAGCUGGUGACGAACUGAAGCUCUCAGUCCAACGCCCCACGAGGAGUGGAAUCCUGCUGAAAACCACGGAGUGAGCUUGGAAAUGGAUCUCGUCCCAGUCAAGCCUUUAGAUGACUGCAGCCCCCCUCAACACCUUGAUUGUAGCUUGUGAGACCUUGUGAGCCAGAGGACUCAGCUAAACUGUGCCCAGAUUCCAGAGUCACAGACAUAAUGUGACAUAGCUCAUGCUUUUAUUUUAAUCCACUAAAGUUAGAGUAACGUGUUAUGCUGCAAUAGGUAAGUAACACAUUAUUGACCAGAAAUGUAUUAAUAUGUCUUUAGUUACCUGAAUGCUAUUGACUAGAGUGCCUCAAUAUAUAUACUUGUGUGUUCACUUACGUAACAAAUUAUAGGCCACAGGUGUCAGUUUCUGCAAAAAUCUCCUGGUCAAUAAAGAGUUAGAAUGCUUCAUUUCUUGGUUGCUGAUUUCCACAUCACUGUUUCUUAUGCUUAGGUCUUUAACCAGAGGCGACGCAUUAAGGGAAAUCUGGUACACA